CAGCAACACCGCGUGUGUGAUGAAGGUCUUCGGAUUGUAAAGCACUUUCGACCGGGAACGAAAACCCUGAAGCUAACAUCUUCAGGUUUGACGGUACCGGGAGAAGAAGCACCGGCUAACUCUGUGCCAGCAGCCGCGGGUAAUACAGAGGGUGCAAGCGUUGUUCGGAAUUAUUGGGCGUAAAGCGCGUGUAGGCGGCUUUGCAAGUCGGGUGUGAAAGCCCUCAGCUCAACUGAGGAAGUGCGCCCGAAACUGCGGAGCUUGAGUGCCGGAGAGGGUGGCGGAAUUCCCCAAGUAGAGGUGAAAUUCGUAGAUAUGGGGAGGAACACCGGUGGCGAAGGCGGCCACCUGGACGGUAACUGACGCUGAGACGCGAAAGCGUGGGGAGCAAACAGGAUUAGAUACCCUGGUAGUCCACGCCGUAAACGAUGAGAACUAGGUGUCGUGGGAGUUCGACCCCCGCGGUGCCGAAGCUAACGCAUUAAGUUCUCCGCCUGGGAAGUACGGUCGCAAGACUA
rnacentral:rRNA from 1 species